GGUUGGCGGCGGGCGGGUCCCUCGCCAACUCGGUCAGGUCCGGAAGGAAGCAGCCGUAACGAGUUUCAGCCCGGGUCGCUCGCCAGCCGUU
rnacentral:SRP_RNA from 1 species